UAAUGUUAUCAGUCAACCCUAGUUGUUUUCUGCAUUAUUGCCCUCUGGCCUUGGUUAAACCAGGCUGUUGACUAUUGUUAAAGUGUUAUUUAUUUCAUAUUUAUUAAUCCCCAUUUUUUCAUUCAUGUUACAGGUUAAUUUAUACUUUUAUUUCAUGCUCUCUUUUGCUUUACUGAUUAAUAUGCCCCAUGGCAUUCAAUAAAGCUAGACUGUGGUAAAAAUAAGAGUGGUAUUAAUUUCUACCAUUACUAUAAAUUUACCUUAAUAAAACUACUUCAGUAACUCUGCAAUGGUAUUAUAAUGGAUGCUUCAAAAUUAUUAAUGGUUAUUCACAAUUGAGGGUAUAGCACAAAUGAGGAUGAGUUGUUACUUGGUGGAUUCAAAAUAUAAACUAGGUUUUAUUUCAUAAUGGAUUUUAACAUUGUUAAAUUUUAAAGAAAGUAGUAUUUUUAAAGUAUUAUUUUUUCAGGUUUUAAUUAUUUUGCUUGCUGUUAAACUUGAAUAUUAAAACAGAUUUUGGAUUAUGACAAAAACUACAUAUUCCCUGUAAAAAAAAUCACAUGAUCUUGUCUAAUAAAACUUGCAAAUGUAGAGAUAGAUAUGAAAUAAUUGAUGUUGUUUGUUUUAAAGCAAUCACAUAACUGACAUUAAUUAUAUUUGCUAAGCUUCUGAUUUAUAUACAGAACCAGGCAAGGAAAUUGCUUAGUAAAAAAGCAAAUGCAUUUAUUUAUUUGUUUGUUUAUUUAUUUACCAAUUUCCCUAUGAUUUAUUAAUAUUGUAAGUCUGCUUUGCUAGGGAAAUAUGAGAUAGGGAUACCAUUUCUGAUAUUCUUGUGCUUCUUAUAUUUAUGAAUACUGCCCGGCAAUACUUUGAAUCUAACUGCAAAUGGACACCAGGAAAAAGAGGCUGGUCAACAACAGCACGUUAUACUUCCACAUGGUGUCCAGCUAGUUGGUUUUAUUUCAGAAGAUAGAUCAUUUGAACAAUGACAUUUUCUGGCAACCCAAGGAUCUGAAAAGUAGAAGCAUACAACCCAGAAUCUUGUCUCAACUGCUUAAACUGCACGAGGAGCAGUCAGCAGCCUAAGCUGAUCUCUUGACUGAUUUACUCAACUCAAAAGAAUUAACUCUGCUGUUUAAAAAGAUGGACGUCCCAGCCAAAUAUCCUGGGGAAGAGAAGGACAAGGCAUGAAGAACCUCGAAUUUGGGUGUUGGAAAAAUAUUGAAGCAUGAAGAAGGGACUUAGACUAUCUCAGCACAUCGCCACAGUGAGAUCUCGGCUCUCUCACUUUAGGAUCUGCUAGGUGGAAUCAUUUUUUCUUCCUAGUAGUUUAAUCUUAAUACCGGGUAAACCCAGCAUCCUUUUUAAAUAUCAGUCAUUUUGAUACGGUCAACUUUGCCUCUGAUUGGAAACAUGUGUUUGUCUGCUGAGGAUGAUAAAUAGGGGUAGCGGUUCCCCCCCCCCCCGCAUCUGGAUCUUUUCUAAUGCAGCAAAAGAUCCUGAUUUCAAGGAGCAGCGGCAGCUUGAGGGCAGCAUUUCCAUCCUGAAGAAGUGGGCUGAAUUUCCUCAUAAAAAAUCCUAAACCUUUAAAAGGUUGAAGAGGCUGUGCCUGUCCGCACAAGCAGCUAUCAAGGGGAGGAAAGGAGCUGAGAAGGAGCCCUGUGAGAAAAUAAAUCUGAAAAAUAAAGUGGGAGGUUCUUCUCCAUCCAUUAUUUAAAGCUGCUCACAGCUUUGCAGCAGCAAAAUGCAUUCUGUGGUUUUUCCAUAGACAAUGGUCCUCCUGCAGACUUGAAGUCUGCAUGGUAGGAUUUUUAAACGUGAGUAGGAUUGUGGAUUAAAAAUGGCUUUAUAUAGGGAGGAGGGAUACUUUUACUGCUCAAAGUUUGUAAAUCUGAAUGCCAUCUAAUUUUGUGGGAGUUUUUGAAAAACACGGACAUGUACAUUCCUAUUUUUUUUCCUAAAAUGUUCACACUUAGAAAUAUAUUUUUCUCAUUUCAAAAUGUACUUUAUUACAAAGCGUGUAUUUCUGCAUAUUUUAGAGUGAAAACAAACCAUGGCAAAAUUCAGAAAAUUGCAAAAUCUAUGUCCUGAUCCAUGCUUUAGUCAAAGAGGUUGAGAUCAUGUUGACUUCCUUUUAAUACAUAAAAUAAAAUUAUAACCACAAUCUCUAAAAUUGUUUCAGUGCACAUAUACAAUAGAUCUUACAUAUUCAUAUCUCCAGAUAUCAGAAAUAGUAAGAAAAACUACAGCCAACAAAACAGCCAAAAAAAUAAAACAGCUUAAUAUAGUGAAAACUUAUUAAUAAAAAAAGAUUAAACAAACAGAAAUCACUGAAACAGAUUUUUUUUUUGCACAUCAACAACAACAACAACAACAAUAAUAAUAAUAAUUGGAAUGUAUUUGUCUAUUAUGUUUAUUUUUUUACAAAUAUUGUGGAUCUCACAUAAGUUUAUAUUCAUAAACACAUUACUGUCUCUACAUAGUAAUUAAGAGCUAUUUUUCUGCCAGUUAAGAUGCUGGCCUUCACCAUUUAUAUCCUCCUUCCAAUCCCUUCAAAACAAUGUUGAUUUGUGGCUUCUGCAUUUUUGCCAACCUUGGAAUGAUGCAAAUAUGCAGGAAUUGGCCAUUAACCAAUCAGCUGACCAGUAAGAAGCUGCAGAGAUUGUUGUUCAAUCAGUGAUGCCACUCUGUCCACUUCUAUCUAUAUUUCCAGGAUAUGCUAUUUGCAUUUCCCUGUUUUUCAGAAAAUGUGAAUCGUUCCUAAGGGAUUGCUGUGAACAGCCGGCCAUCCUUUUUCUGCUGCAUUCUUCAGCCCCUGUGAUGGUGAGAAAAUAGCACAUUGGCAGCUGAUACAUUUCAGACAAUACCUACAAGGCAAGCAACAGUGGAAGCUCUGUGGCAUAGUGGAAAGUGAAAUGGUUGCUGUGAGUACAGGGCUGAGGAAAGAGUUCCUACUACAGAGAAAAUGUACUGCUUUUAUUAAGUUUUGCAGAACUGCAUGAUUACAAAGGAAAAAGAUAUUUGCAAAUAAACUUAAAAGGAGCCAAAAGGGGAAAAAAGCAUCUUCACCAUCUUGGAUUAAACAGUGUCAUCUGGAAGUGUUCCUUCUCUGCCAUGGUUCUUGUCCUUUGGUUCUUGUCCCUCUUUGUCCUUCCUGAAAUCCAUGUCGUCCCCACCCUGCUUUUUUUGUUUGCUAUUUUUGGCUGUGUAUUGUGCUCGGAUCCCAUCCUACUUUUUGGUUGGUACUGGCUUAUUAUUAUUAUUAUUAUUUGUCAACCACUCAUAGCCAAUUGGAGUUGGGUGAUGUCUAAAUUGAAUGAAUGAAUGAUUAAAUAAACAAACAAACAAAUAAAUAAAUACUUUUUUAAAAUUAACGAAUAGGUCAGUGCCACAAAACAAUUAUAACUCACAGAAAUUCAUCUCUGUUGUUUUCCAUGUCAUAAACUAAAGUAUGCACACAGAUUAAAUUAUUUUCUCCUUACGAUCACAACAGAAGCUCUGAAUUCAUAUUCUUAUAUAAACAAUAAUCUUUAUUAGUUCAUUUUUAGAUGAAAAUUUUCCCCUUUGUACAUUGUAGUUCAAGCUUUGAAAACCUCAUAGUAUCUUUUUUUGUGACAAUUUAUUUUUACAUUGGGUCUUGAAGGGAAUAUAAGACUUUAUUUUCUUAAUGUGAUUUUUAUGUGAGAGUUGGAUGAAAAGUCCGUAACUAUAGUUUAAACAAGA